rnacentral:rRNA from 1 species
GACGUAGGGGGCGAGCGUUGUCCGGAUUUAUUGGGCGUAAAGCGUGCGUAGGCGGCUGCGCAAGUCGGGUGUGAAACCCCGGGGCUCAACCCCGGAACUGCAUCCGAUACUGCGUGGCUAGAGGUAGGUAGGGGAGAUCGGAAUUCCUGGUGUAGCGGUGAAAUGCGUAGAUAUCUGGAGGAGCAUCAGUGGCGAAGGCGACACCCUGGACUCAUACUGACACUGAGGUGCGAAAGCGUGGGGAGCAAACAGG